rnacentral:rRNA from 1 species
UAAGGAGUAAAGCUUUUAGCGCUUUAGGAAUGGCCUAUGUCCGAUUAGCUUGUUGGUAAGGUAAAGGCUUACCAAGGCGACGAUCGGUAGCUGGUCUGAGAGGAUGAUCAGCCAGACUGGGACUGAGACACGGCCCAGACUCCUACGGGAGGCAGCAGUAGGGAAUUUUCCACAAUGGGGGCAACCCUGAUGGAGCAACGCCGCGUGCAGGAUGAAGGCCUUCGGGUUGUAAACUGCUUUUAUAUGAGAAGAUUAUGACGGUAACAUAUGAAUAAGGGUCGGCUAACUCCGUGCCAGCAGCCGCCGUCAUACGGAGGACCCAAGCAUUAUCCGGAAUUACUGGGCGUAAAGAGUUGCGUAGGUGGCAUAGUAAGCGAAAUGUGAAAGCGUACAGCUCAACUGUAUAGACAUGUUUCGAACUGCUAAGCUUGAGGACGAGAGAGGUAGAUGGAAUUCCCAGUGUAGGAGUGAAAUCCGUAGAUAUUGGGAGGAACACCGAUGGCGUAGGCAGUCUACUGGCUCGUUUCUGACACUAAGGCACGAAAGCGUGGGGAGCAAACGGGAUUAGAUACCCCGGUAGUCCACGCCGUAAACUAUGGAUGCUAGCUGUUAUGCGUAUCGACCCGCGUAGUAGCGAAGCUAACGCGUUAAGCAUCCCGCCUGUGGGGUACGGUCGCAAGACUAAAACAUAAAGGAAUUGACGGGGACCCGCACAAGCGGUGGAGCGUGUUGUUUAAUUCGAUGAUAAGCGAAGAACCUUACCCAGGCUUGACAUCCUUGGAAGCACUGCGAAAGCAGAG